rnacentral:rRNA from 1 species
UACGUAGGGACCGAGCGUUGUCCGGAUUCAUUGGGCGUAAAGAGCUCGUAGGCGGCUGCUCAAGUCGAAUGUGAAAACUCGAGGCUCAACCUCGAGCCUGCAUUCGAUACUGGGCGGCUAGAGUCUGGUAGGGGGAUCUGGAAUUCCUGGUGUAGCGGUGGAAUGCGCAGAUAUCUGGAGGAACACCGGUGGCGAAGGCGGCAUCCUGGACCGGUAUUGACGCUGAGGCGCGAAAGCCAGGGGAGCAAACGGG